rnacentral:rRNA from 1 species
GGCGGUCGAUGGCUUUACUGUCUCUUACUUCCAAUCCRUKAAUGGAWUGACCUUCCCGUGAAGAGGCGGGAAUAUGACAAUAAGACGAGAAGACCCUAUGGAGCUUUAAUUAACCGACCCAAAGAGAUCUUGAUAAUCAACCGACAGGGAUAACAUACCUCUACCAUGGGCCGACAAUUUAGGUUGGGGUGACCUCGGAGAAUAAAACAACCUCCGAGUGAUUUAAAUCUAGACUAACUAGUCGAAAGUACUACAUCACUUAUUGAUCCAAAAACUUGAUCAACGGAACAAGUUACCCUAGGGAUAACAAGCSCAWUCYUMUUUUAGAGUCCAUAUCGACAAUAGGAU